AACGAACGCUGGCGGCAGGCCUAACACAUGCAAGUCGAACGCCCCGCAAGGGGAGUGGCAGACGGGUGAGUAACGCGUGGGAAUCUCCCUUAUGGUACGGAAUAGCCCCGGGAAACUUGGAGUAAUACCGUAUAAGCUCGAAAGAGGAAAGAUUUAUCGCCAUAAGAUGAGCCCGCGUUGGAUUAGCUAGUUGGUGAGGCAACGGCUCACCAAGGCGACGAUCCAUAGCUGGUCUGAGAGGACGAUCAGCCACACUGGGACUGAGACACGGCCCAGACUCCUACGGGAGGCAGCAGUGGGGAAUAUUGGACAAUGGGCGCAAGCCUGAUCCAGCCAUGCCGCGUGAGUGACGAAGGUCUUCGGAUUGUAAAGCUCUUUUGGCGGGGACGAUAAUGACGGUACCCGCAGAAUAAGCCCCGGCUAACUUCGUGCCAGCCGCCGCAGUAA
rnacentral:rRNA from 1 species